CCCUUAGAUGUUCUGGGCCGCACGCGCGCUACACUGACGAAGUCAGCGAGCAUGUCCUACGCCGACAGGUGCGGGGAAUCUUGUCAAACUUCGUCGUGAUGGGGAUUGAUUAUUGAAAUUCUUGAUCAUCAACGAGGAAUUCCUAGUAAGCGCAAGUCAGUAGCUUGCGUUGAUUACGUCCCUGCCCUUUGUACACACCGCCCGUCGCUACUACCGAUUGAAUGGUUUAGUGAGAUCUUCGGAUUGGCGCCACUGCGGCUCAGCAAUGGGCUCGGUGGAUGCCGAAAAGUUGAUCAAACUUGAUCAUUUAGAGGAAGUAAAAGUCGUAACA
rnacentral:rRNA from 1 species